rnacentral:lncRNA from 1 species
CUCAGAGAAGUAAAUCAAAACUAAAUCAAAACUCUGGUUAAGGACUCAAACUGUCUCCUGUGGAGCUUUCAGUCUCUCUUUAUUACUGGAAUACUUUUUCACAGAACUGGAAGUUUAGUAUUUCUGAGGCUUUCCUAAGUGAGGGAAAGAAUUAUUACAGCAAAGGUAUAAUAUCAUGCUUUAUUACAGUUUUUUAUAUCACCCAACUGUUUUUCCUGAAUUUGUAGAUUAUGAUUUUUUUUCCUUCCUGAAAUAGAUUCUGUAAUUAACAGUUUGUAUCUUUUCAUGCCAGGCUGGAGGGGGCUUGGAGCAACCUGGACUAGUGGAAGGUGUCCCUGCCUGGUGCCAAGGCUAGCUGGAGGACGAUUUUUUUUUCUUUACUGGGACACGUGCCAUGUUUGUCUUCAAUAUUUUUUCUGGAAGAAACCAACAUCUUCCCGUUCUCCUCGCUGUGGUGGCAGCGCAGAUGUCCCUUUUGGACUGAAAUCCACAGGCUGAUUGCCCUCGGCUGGCAGCGGGAGGGGUGGGGCAGUGCCAGCUGUGUCCUGUGCUGCCCUUCCUGCAGCGCCCUGGGUGUGGGACGAGCGCCGAGGAUGCCGUGGGAGCGCAGGAAGCGCCGCUCCUUGGAAAGGCGAGCGGGGCCGGCCGGAACCAGGAACAUUCUGGGAAGCCCCCGAGGUGGUUUGCAUCACACUUCUGUCACAGCUGACUUGGACCCUUUGGAACUGCAAACGAGGCUUGGUUCAGGCAGUGGCUCUAAAGAGCAUUCUGAGGAGCUGGGGGUGCUGAGCUCUGCAGUUCCUUUCAUCAAAACCCAAAAGGGACAGAAACUCCUGUGGGGACAGCCCUGCACCCUCACUGCUCUGGGCACACUCAAAGGAUUUCCAGUACCCAAGUGA